rnacentral:rRNA from 1 species
UACGUAGGGAGCAAGCGUUAUCCGGAUUUAUUGGGUGUAAAGGGUGCGUAGACGGGUGAUCAAGUCAGAUGUGAAAUCCCCGGGCUCAACCUGGGAACUGCGUUUGAAACUGGAAGGCUUGAGUGUGGCAGAGGGGGGUGGAAUUCCACGUGUAGCAGUGAAAUGCGUAGAUAUGUGGAGGAACACCGAUGGCGAAGGCAGCCCCCUGGGCUAACACUGACGCUCAUGCACGAAAGCGUGGGGAGCAAACAGG